rnacentral:rRNA from 1 species
ACGAACGCUGGCGGCGUGCUUAACACAUGCAAGUCGAACGGUGAAGCGCCUUCCUUUUUGGUGGGUGUGGAUGAGUGGCGAACGGGUGAGUAACACGUGAGUAACCUGCCCCCUUCUUCUGGAUAACCGCAUGAAAGUGUGGCUAAUACGGGAUAUUCUGGGUCUGUCGCAUGAUGGGUCUGGGAAAGAUAUUGUUUCGGUGGGGGAUGGGCUCGCGGCCUAUCAGCUUGUUGGUGGGGUGAUGGCCUACCAAGGCGGUGACGGGUAGCCGGCCUGAGAGGGUGGACGGUCACGCUGGGACUGGGACACGGCCCAGACUCCUACGGGAGGCAGCAGUGGGGAAUAUUGCACAAUGGGCGCAAGCCUGAUGCAGCGACGCCGCGUGAGGGAUGGAGGCCUUCGGGUUGUGAACCUCUUUCGCCAGUGAAGCAGGCCUGCCUCGUUUGUGGGUGGGUUGACGGUAGCUGGAUAAGAAGCGCCGGCUAACUACGU